rnacentral:lncRNA from 1 species
UGACAGUAGGAUUGGGUAUGAGAAGACUCUGAAGUCUGUCUCUGGAGACCUGAACCCCAGGAGUAAUGGAGGCAAUUAACAUGCCUCAUACAGACUUGGCUCCAGCUCAGACUUGUGGAGAUAAACUUCAUAGUUUCUUCCGUACAGAGGAGCUAAGUAAUAAAAGGAAGAGGACUGAUUGUUGAUGGAAAAUGAAAAAGAAGAAUUCUGACAACCUCUUGACGUCAUCUCACUAAAAUUAUUUGUAUCUGUUAGAACAAAAUAAGAAGUGUCUUCCUCUUCUGAGGAACUAAGAGAAUAAAUAUACCGUGAAAAAUUGAAAGUAUUUUUUAUAUAAUUGUUAAUUGCUGUAUCAUCUUCCUCCAUGGUCACUUAAUUAUUA